AUUGAACGCUGGCGGCAGGCUUAACACAUGCAAGUCGAGCGGAGAUGAGGUGCUUGCACCUUAUCUUAGCGGCGGACGGGUGAGUAAUGCUUAGGAAUCUGCCUAUUAGUGGGGGACAACAUUCCGAAAGGAAUGCUAAUACCGCAUACGUCCUACGGGGGAAAGCAGGGGAUCUUCGGACCUCGCGCUAAUAGAUGAGCCUAAGUCGGAUUAGCUAGUUGGUGGGGUAAAGGCCUACCAAGGCGACGAUCUGUAGCGGGUCUGAGAGGAUGAUCCGCCACACUGGGACUGAGACACGGCCCAGACUCCUACGGGAGGCAGCAGUGGGGAAUAUUGGACAAUGGGGGGAACCCUGAUCCAGCCAUGCCGCGUGUGUGAAGAAGGCCUUAUGGUUGUAAAGCACUUUAAGCGAGGAGGAGGCUACUGAGACUAAUACUCUUGGAUAGUGGACGUUACUCGCAGAAUAAGCACCGGCUAACUCUGUGCCAGCAGCCGCCGUAA
rnacentral:rRNA from 1 species